UACGUAGGGGGCAAGCGUUGUCCGGAAUCAUUGGGCGUAAAGCGCGUGUAGGCGGCUUGGUAAGUCCGCUCUGAAAGCCCCGGGGCUCAACCCCGGGAGGCGGGUGGAUACUGUCAAGCUCGAGUCCGGAAGAGGCGAGUGGAAUUCCUGGUGUAGCGGUGAAAUGCGCAGAGUAUCAGGAGGAACACCAAUGGCGAAGGCAGCUCGCUGGGACGUGACUGACGCCUGAGACGCGAAAGCGUGGGGAGCAAACAGG
rnacentral:rRNA from 1 species